rnacentral:misc_RNA from 1 species
GGAAGUAAAAGUCGUAUCAAGGUUUCCGUAGGUGAACCUGCGGAAGGAUCAUUACAGAGUUCAUGUCCUCACGGGUAGAUCUCCCACCCUUGAAUAUUUAUACCUUAGUUGCUUUGGCAGGCCGUGGAAACACCAUGGGCUCCGGCUUAUGCGUGCCUGCCAGAGGAAACAAACUCUGUUUUUAGUGUUGUCUGAGUACUAUAUAAUAGUUAAAACUUUCAACAACGGAUCUCUUGGUUCUG